AUGUACAUUCCUACAACAUAUAUUUAAUGCACUAUAUCCCAUUACAACUCCACAUUUAAGCAUGCUCAGGCUAGAGUAGUACUGGGAUGGGUGACCUCCUGAGAAGUCCUAGUGUUUUACAUG
rfam:Picea glauca, whole genome shotgun sequence.